ACGAACGCUGGCGGCGUGCUUAACACAUGCAAGUCGAACGGAUCACACUUCCUUGUGUUGUGUGGUGAGUGGCGAACGGGUGAGUAACACGUGAGUAACCUGCCCUUCACUCUGGGAUAACUGUGGGAAACUUCAGCUAAUACCGGAUAUUCACAUUUCCUCGCAUGGGGGGGUGUGGAAAGAUUUUUUGGUGGGGGAUGGGCUCGCGGCCUAUCAGCUUGUUGGUGGGGUAGUGGCCUACCAAGGCUUUGACGGGUAGCCGGCCUGAGAGGGCGACCGGCCACACUGGGACUGAGAUACGGCCCAGACUCCUACGGGAGGCAGCAGUGGGGAAUAUUGCACAAUGGGCGGAAGCCUGAUGCAGCAACGCCGCGUGCGGGAUGACGGCCUUCGGGUUGUAAACCGCUUUCACCAGGGGCGAAUUUGGACGGUACCUGGAGAAGAAGCACCGGCUAACUACGU
rnacentral:rRNA from 1 species